UCUGACAUUGGCAAAGCAAUCCUCCACCGACGUCGGCAAAGAGAUCCUCCAUCUCGCCCGCCUUUCCAUACCAGUGUCAGAAAUCGACGGCCAUCUGAAAACUCCAUCUCCGACAUCCUCCUCACUAUGUGUUUCAGCGGCAAGCUUCUGUCAUCACUGAUUGAAUUGGACAAGGCCCAUUAUAUGAGGUAUAAGGAGACGGAGACAAGGUGUGUUAGAGAUGUUCAAUCAUUUUUUGAUGAAUAAGUCUAUCUCAAGCAUGUUUGUGAUGAGAAUCGAUGUCAUAACAGCCGAAAAUGACACUUAAGAGGGCUACUACCUUAAGCAACAAUAACAAUAAGAAGAAGAAAAACUUCAACUCUACUGCCACCACAGCCACUUGAGCAACCAUGUCAGCUGCCACAACAACAAUCAACUCAGCCACAACAAGGUACUUUAUCAGCCUCGGGAGGGGGUUCUCGCCAACGGGAUGAGGGAACGCAUACUCAGACUUCUUCACAGGGGAAGAACACUCGUUGCCGAACUGUGGGAGCUGGCACUUGUGAUGUUGUUAAAAAGAGGAAGAGUUUGUUUCCAAUACGGAUGGAUCCAUCCCAGAAAUUGGUGGCAACUAUUGAGGCUUAGAAACUGUUCGUCUCUGAGAUUGGGUUAAUCACUCGCAAUAAAGCUCCAUUGAAUGUUUUAGGGAUGAAAAAAGUGAGCUUGGAGUCUAAGAAAGAUAUGGCAUUGGGAUUGCAGUUCAUGUUUGAUGUGGACUUAACGGAUCCUAACUUGCACGAGCAACACCUCCCCCUGAAAAGAUGUUUGGUACUCGAAGGACUCUAGAAGAGUGACAUUAUUUGGUUGAUACAUUGUACACAAAUGAGUAAUAUCAGAAAUGUUGCAAGGCCAAUGCUGAGAACAGAGAAAAAAAAAGAAAAAAGAAGUUUGAUCAUAUAUACAUGGGGUCACAUUCUUUCCUAAAACACAUGGAUGGUGUUAAAGAGAAGGGUGAAAAUCCUACAUACAUUAGCUACUGGAACAACAUGUGUAUGUGUAAGGAUAAGAGCCUGUCGAUCAAUGAGGCUGCUGAAAUUAAAGGGAAGAUGUAUGAAGAGUAUAAGAAGGCCAAGCAACAAGUGGCAGAGAGUUUAGGAACUCCACUAGAUCAAAUCGCACUCCCUAUCCCACAACAGUUAGAGAUCAUGACUGCAGAACUUGGGGUUGCAAAGGGCAAGAGGAUUCGAGGCUUGGGUUCUAGUCUCCGAGUGGAGAGUUCGCAUAGUGGUCGAGUUGCCUCCUCUUUUGCUACAGAGAAAAAGGUUGAGGAACUUCAAGGCACAGUUGGUGAGUUGAAAGGCAUAGUUUGUGAGCUGGCACAGUGGGUAAACUUUUGAAUGUCAUUGAGUGGAUGCGGUCCUGUACCCUCACAUUUAGAUGUUCCAUCCCAGCAUACUGGUGAUUCUUCUUGUGAUGGUGAUCAAGGUAAUAGUGGUGGUUCACGUAAUGUUUAUGAUGAUCUUGAUGAUAUUGUAAAUAUUCAUUAGGUUGUGUGUACAUCUACAUACUUGAUGGUUUUUAUAUGUAGCAUACCUUGGGGGGUUCUAGAGGGUUUCUAUAUCUAGCUACUUGAUGGUUUUUGUAUCUUUAGCAUACCUUGGGGUUUUUUGUAUCUAGCUACAUUGAUGUAUGCUUAAACUAGUAUCUUCUGAACAGUAAUUAUGCGAUUUUUAUUAA